rnacentral:rRNA from 1 species
UUCCGGUUGAUCCCGCCGGACCUGACUGCUAUCGGAUUGAUACUAAGCCAUGCGAGUCUUUGCAGUAAUGCAAGGCAUACGGCUCAGUAACACGUAGUCAACUUACCCUAUGGACGAGGAUAAUCUCGGGAAACUGAGCAUAAUACUCGAUAGAUCAUAAUGCCUGGAAUGGUUUAUGGUUAAAAUGAUUCGUCGCCAUAGGAUGGGACUGCGGCCUAUCAGCUUGUUGGUGAGGUAAUGGCCCACCAAGGCGAUUACAGGUACGGGCUCUGAGAGGAGAAGCCCGGAGAUGGGUACUGAGACAAGGACCCAGGCCCUAUGGGGCGCAGCAGGCGAGAAAACUUUGCAAUGUGCGAAAGCACGACAAGGUUAAUCCGAGUGAUUUCUGCUAAAGAAAUCUUUUGCAAGUCAUAAAACCACUAGUGAAUAAGGGGUGGGCAAGUUCUGGUGUCAGCCGCCGCGGUAAAACCAGCACCUCAAGUGGUCAGGAGGAUUAUUGGGCCUAAAGCAUCCGUAGCCGGCUCUGUAAGUUUUCGGUUAAAUCCAUGUGCUCAACACAUGGGCUGCCGAAAAUACUGCAUAGCUAGGGAGUGGGAGAGGUAGACGGUACUCGGUAGGAAGGGGUAAAAUCCUUUGAUCUAUCGAUGACCACCUGUGGCGAAGGCGGUCUACCAGAACACGUUCGACGGUGAGGGAUGAAAGCUGGGGGAGCAAACCGGAUUAGAUACCCGGGUAGUCCCAGCUGUAAACGAUGCAGACUCGAUGAUGCAUUGGCAUAUAGCCAGUGCAGUGUCGCAGGGAAGCCGUUAAGUCUGCCGCCUGGGAAGUACGUACGCAAGUAUGAAACUUAAAGGAAUUGGCGGGGGAGCACCACAAGGGGUGAAGCCUGCGGUUCAAUUGGAUUCAACGCCGGG